rnacentral:rRNA from 1 species
GAUGAACGCUAGCGGCAGGCUUAAUACAUGCAAGUCGUGGGGCGGCAGGUUUGUAGCAAUACAGAUGCUGGCGACCGGCAAACGGGUGCGGAACACGUACAGAACCUUCCUUUGAGCGGGGAAUAGCCCAGAGAAAUUUGGAUUAAUACCCCAUAGUAUAAUGAAGUGGCAUCACUUUAUUAUUAAAGAUUUAUCACUCGAAGAUGGCUGUGCGGCUGAUUAGGUAGUUGGCGGGGUAAAGGCCCACCAAGCCUGCGAUCAGUAACUGGUGUGAGAGCACGACCAGUCACACGGGCACUGAGACACGGGCCCGACUCCUACGGGAGGCAGCAGUAAGGAAUAUUGGUCAAUGGAGGCAACUCUGAACCAGCCAUGCCGCGUGGAGGAUGAAGGUCCUCUGGAUUGUAAACUUCUUUUAUAUGGGACGAAAAAGGCUUUUCUAAGUCGUCUGACGGUACCAUAUGAAUAAGCACCGGCUAACUCCGUG